GCCGGUGACAAACCGGAGGAAGGUGGGGAUGACGUCAAGUCAGCAUGGCCUUUAUGUCUGGGGCCACACACGUGCUACAAUGGCCGGUACAAACCGUCGCGAUACCGUAAGGUGGAGCUAAUCGGAGAAAGCCGGUCUCAGUUCGGAUUGUAGGCUGCAACUCGCCUGCAUGAAGUUGGAAUCGCUAGUAAUCGCGGAUCAGCACGCCGCGGUGAAUACGUUCCCGGGCCUUGUACACACCGCCCGUCACAUCACGAAAGCUGGCUGUACUAGAAGUGGCCGAGCUAACCCGCAAGGGAGGCAGGUCCCUAAGGUAUGGUCAGUGAUUGGGGUGAAGUCGUAACAAGGUA
rnacentral:rRNA from 1 species